AAAAAAAUGAAGUUUUCCUCACCCUUAUAAAAGUAGGCUGAGAGUACUAUACAAGGAGAAGGUAAGUGCAGAACUAGGUCUUCCUUCUCCUGUCUUCUACAUAGUAGUGAAGUUCCAGUCUUGUUCACUUUGUUAUGAGCCUGAAAGGAAUGGUUGGCGAAGCAGUCUGAAGUCUACAGCAUCUCCCAGGCUGAUACUGGACUCAUUACAGUUCAUGAAAUGCUCACAGAUUAUGAAUACAGAGACAGUUGUUGAAGAUGAUCAAAAGCACAGAACAGUUUCUAGAUAAAGGGAGUGUGAAGAGAGAAACCACAGAUAUCACAGUUGAGAGUAGAACAGAGAAGCUAAUGGCAGAAGAUCAGACCUGAGGGCAGUUUGGAAACAACAGUGCUCUUCCCAGAGAACUGGAAGUUUUGAGGCCAGUAAGAAAAAAAGAAAUGUCAGGACAGGAAGGAGUUCAGAGAAUUGCAAUAAUUUUGUGAAAGAUUAAUCCAGGGACAUUUCAAAUGUGGGGAAUAACCAUGAAAUUCCUGAGAGUAGUAAAAUGCUAACGUUCACAACAAACUUAUGUUUAAAGAGUGUAUAAGUGGCACCAUAAUUUCUGCACAUGGAAAAAUACUGAUAAGCUAUUUAAGGUACCUAAGAUUUCAGAAAUUAUCACAAAGAUAGGUAGCAUGUAAGGACAAUAAAAUUCACUUAUUUCUUUAUGAAGUAAAACCC
rnacentral:lncRNA from 1 species